AGAAUCCUAAAUUCUAUAAAUGGAACCACCAGGAGUCUUCUCAGACUUUAGUGAUAUAUUAAGUAACUUCUGUGUGGGAAAGAAGAGUCUUCAGUUUGGUGGAGAUAAAAAUUCCAUGCAUACCAAAAGUGAAGACUGAGAAUGAUUCAUCCCCUGGUAGAGAAGCCUCAAAGCUGUGAAGACUCUCAGGUGGAGGCAAUACUGCUUUUUUGUAAGCUGAACUGCACAGUAUUUCUAGGGAAUCUGGAUUUUGACACUGAUUACAUAAAAAGGGAUGCUGCUGGAAUCUCCUUGAAACUGAAUAUUGUUACUGUUGGUUUACUGGUGAUUCUUCUCUCAGCCACUGAGCCAAGACAAACUGGAUAUAGCCCUGAAUAAAAUGACGACGUUCACUGUAGGAAAAUCAUCCCAUAACAAAAAUGAUAUUAAGAAUGCCUCCCUUGCAAUGAAGAGCAGACAGCAAGUUAUUAAUGAGGUCAACAAGCGAAGAACCCUUUUGCAAGAUAAUAGCUGGAUAAAGAAAAGACCUGAAGAGGAAAGCACCAGUGAAAACUAUGGCAGAGUGGUUCUUAAUCAGUACAAAUCACAAGAUAGCUUGCACAGGUAC